UAACGGGCGUUACCAAGGCGAUGAUGCAUAGCCCGAGUUGAGAGACUGAUCGGGCCACAUUGGGGACUGAGACACGGGCCCAAACUCCUACGGGAGGCAGCAGUAGGGAAUCUUCCACAAUGGACGAAAGUCUGAUGGAGCAAACGCCGCGUGAGUGAAGAAGGUUUUCGGAUCGUAAAGACUCUGUUGUUGGUGAAGAAGGAUAGAGGUAGUAACUAGCCCUUUAUUUGACGGUAAUCAACCAGAAAGUCACGGGCUAACUACGUGCCAGCAGCCGCGGUAAAU
rnacentral:rRNA from 1 species